CGCGAUCAGCGCCCCCACCGACCCGCCCCCUCCGCCGCCGUGCUGCGGCGGCGGCGGCGGAGGCGGCGCCGCCGCCUCCAGCGGCAGCGACAUCGGUCGAAACCCUAACCCUAGAAAAAGGUGCGACUUUUAACCGGUGCUCAGCCCCACAAUGUCGCCCCCCUAAAAGAAAAAGGAAAGGGAAAAAGUAGAGGGUUUUGGGAGAGAGAUUUGAGGCGGGGGAUCUACUACGCCUUUUUGGUUUUUGGUGAGGGAUGUGUGUGUGGAGAUUAAAGAACCAAAGUUAGAAUCUUCUUAAAAAUGUGAUCUUUGUGGGAGAUAUAGAGAGAGAGAGAGAUAGAGCACAAAGGAGAGCUCUCCCAUGGAGGUUUUUGGGGGAGAGUUAGGGUUUAAAGAGGAAGAAGACGAAGAAGAGGAGAGGGAGAGGGAGAGGGAGAAGGAGAAGAAAAAGAGAAACGGAAAAAAAGGAGGGGUUUUUAUUUUAUAAUUUUAUUAUUUUUCUCUCGAAGGUGAUAACUUUAUGGAGAACCCCCUCAAGUAUAUUACAUUUUGAAACAGAUCCUCCGACCAUAAACUAUUCGCUUUGUAUCUAAAUUGAAUUCAUAGCUUUAUUUGCCGAAAAGUACUUAAAAUAACUAAAUUAAGUUGUUUGUGGAUAAGUUACAAAAUACCUUAUAAUUGAGGGGUUUCGUGGUAUAAAUUUGACCCUUUUUAUUUUCACUAAUUAAUUAUCUCUGCGGACUUUUGUCGGAGAGCUUCGGGUGUUGUGUACGUGAAUUGUUGGGAAAAAAAAAAUGUUCGAGCUGUGAUGGGCUCGAUUGUUGCCACGUGGCAGAUCAGACGGUUUAGAGCGAGGGAUUUAGAGCGGGGUACAAUAGUACCAUGAAUUAUUGUGAUUGAAUAAAUGUUAUUAUAUAUGGGUUUUUAGGAGGAGAUUUACUUAAAAGCAGUGUGUCACACUCUCUUUUUUAGUACCUUUUUUUUAAAAAAAAAUAUUUAAAUUUUUUUUAAUAAUAAUCGUAUUGUCCUUAUUUGAGAAAAAAAAAAGUUAGUGAGGAGUAAUUUACAAAAAAAGGGUAAGUUUGUAAUUUUGAUUUGUUUUGGGCUUUGUUUUUUUGUAUUAAAAGUUUAGUUAAGAUGGUCCCAGAAGGACUAUUUAAAUCUUUUGACACUUUUUUGAGCUUUUGCAGGAUCCGUGGGAUCUUCAACUUUGGCAGAUUGUGGACCCGGUCUAUGAGAAAUUCUCCAACUCGGUCUACCACGUCAUCGUAGACCGGAAUUUCGGGCUCAUUUAAUGGUAGUGGCGGCAAAUUGGUGGGUGGGGUUCGGGUCCAGGUUCAGAUUCGGAUUUGGUGAUAUCUGAGCAGAGGCCACACAAGUCAGAGUGCGAGCACUCGACUUAAUCCAUCGAAGUAUUUUAAAUUUGAGCUCGAUUCAAAGUGAUCAGGCCGAUUCGAAUCGGGCACAGUAUGUUUUGCGGGUAGGGGACUAUAUGAUUUGCGAAGAGCAUUAUCCUGCGAUGUUCACGAACAAUCGAAUAAGGUUCAGGUCAUUUCGAAAUUUGAGUCGCUUCGGGUGUAGGGUUUGUUGGGCCCGUUUACUUCGUUUCGGGUUUUAGUAGUGCGAUCGAUACCGGGCGAAAACCGUGUAUCGACCCAAACAUGACCGGGCCCGAUGGGCUUUGUUUAGGGUUCACUUUGCGUGCUUAAUUAAACUUUCCGGGCUUGAAUUUAUCCGGCCCAAAAU
rnacentral:lncRNA from 1 species